UACACGUUCACUUUCACUUCACCUACACGUCACUUCACUUGUUUUUACCUAUUACCGUUGUCACCUAAAGUGAAGUGAUGAAAAUGAACACCGUGAAGUGAGAGUGACAGUGAGGUGAUGUUCGGAAUAACCAUGGCGUGUUAUUCAUAAUUGUCUGCUUCUGUCGAUUUCUUUUUUUAGCGGAAACUUUGUUUUUGUAUUGAAUUGUGCUCUGAUACCGACAAUGAAGAGGAUUAUUUGGUAAAAGCAAAAGUUCUUAUUUAUUUUACUUUAGAGCAAUUUCUUCCUAGCACAUCGCCAAGCUGUCCAGAAUGUACGGAGGAACCGGUGCCAAUCCAUUGUUCUGAACUCACAAUGUUUCCAUGCGACAGCGAGUGUUUGGCCAGGACGAAAGAGAACUUCCUCGCCCUCGGGUCGGAAUGUCGGGAAGGAUCAGGAUCAAUCAGCAUCAAUGAAGGCUUUAGUAAUAACAUUACCACCAGCUCGCUGCUAAAACAUAGUUGGCCAAGCAACGGCAGCAACAGCGACAGAAACCAGCAACAGAUAGAUUAAGCUGUUGGGGCUCCAAACAAAGUACCAGCAUGAUUAUCCACGUCUCUAAUCGACCACCGACUGCGACAAUCAAUGAGAAUGAAGAAACCCAGUGCAGCGGGACCUUUGGGCGUAAGCAGGAACCACUAAGUCGGGCAUUAAGAAAUCCGACUUGUAUGCGGAUCUCGAAGGUAGGAACGGUAUGGUAAAUUUGAACGCUAUGUCAACCAAGCUCCGUGGUAUGGUGGAUGAUUACGUGUCCGUUUCCAGCGUAGUGUACAGGGUAGCAAUGGUCGUUCCCCCGAAGGAUGCAAUAAAGAUAGUACCAGCUCAAAAGGUGGUACCGAGCGUUAAUUCGACGAAAGCCUUUCCCGCACUGUCCGAAUCCGGUGGCAAGCCGGAUGGUCCCGUUAAAUCUGCCCAGUGGAUUGUCGCUACUAAGGUGAAUUCGUCUUCGCUCUCACUUGGA